rnacentral:rRNA from 1 species
CCUACGGGGGGCAGCAGUGGGGAAUAUUGGACAAUGGGGGCAACCCUGAUCCAGCCAUGCCGCGUGUGUGAAGAAGGCCCUCGGGUUGUAAAGCACUUUCAGUGAGGAAGAACGCCUGGUGGUUAAUACCCAUCAGGAAAGACAUCACUCACAGAAGAAGCACCGGCUAACUCCGUGCCAGCAGCCGCGGUAAUACGGAGGGUGCGAGCGGUAAUCGGAAUUACUGGGCGUAAAGCGCGCGUAGGUGGCUUGAUAAGCCGGUUGUGAAAGCCCCGGGCUCAACCUGGGAACGGCAUCCGGAACUGUCAAGCUAGAGUGCAGGAGAGGAAGGUAGAAUUCCCGGUGUAGCGGUGAAAUGCGUAGAGAUCGGGAGGAAUACCAGUGGCGAAGGCGGCCUUCUGGACUGACACUGACACUGAGGUGCGAAAGCGUGGGUAGCAAACAGGAUUAGAUACCCGAGUAGUC